CCUACGGGUGGCAGCAGUGAGGAAUAUUGGUCAAUGGCCGAAAGCCUGAACCAGCCAAGUCGCGUGAAGGAUGAAGGAUCUAUGGUUUGUAAACUUCUUUUAUAUGGGAAUAAAGUUAGCAACGUGUUCCUUUUUGUAUGUACCAUAUGAAUAAGCAUCGGCUAACUCCGUGCCAGCAGCCGCGGUAAUACGGAGGAUGCGAGCGUUAUCCGGAUUUAUUGGGUUUAAAGGGUGCGUAGGUUGUUUUUUAAGUCAGCGGUGAAAGUUUGUGGCUCAACCAUAAAAUUGCCGUUGAAACUGGAAGACUUGAGUGUGUUUGAGGUAGGCGGAAUGCGUGGUGUAGCGGUGAAAUGCAUAGAUAUCACGCAGAACUCCGAUUGCGAAGGCAGCUUACUAAGCCAUAACUGACACUGAAGCACGAAAGCGUGGGGAUCAAACAGGAUUAGAUACCCGAGUAGUC
rnacentral:rRNA from 1 species